rnacentral:rRNA from 1 species
GAAACACGGACCAAGGAGUCUAACGUGUGCGCGAGUCGUUGGGUGUGCAAACCCAAAGGCGUAAUCAAGGUGAAGGGAAGCUCGCCUUCCCUAGGGAGGAGGGGAAGUCCGUGCCUCACGGGCGGUUUCCCCGCACUCCCGCGGCGUCUCAGGCUCAUUGCGAGCCGAGGCGGACCUAGAGCGUUCACGUUGGGACCCGAAAGAUGGUGAACUAUGCCUGGCCAGGACGAAGCCAGGGGAAACCCUGGUGGAGGUCCGUAGCGGUUCUGACGUGCAAAUCGAUCGUCGGAGCUGGGUAUAGGGGCGAAAGACUAAUCGAACCAUCUAGUAGCUGGUUCCCUCCGAAGUUUCCCUCAGGAUAGCUGGCGCCCAGGUCGAGACGAGUCUCAUCUGGUAAAGCGAAUGAUUAGAGGCAUUGGGGUCGAAACGACCUCAACCUAUUCUCAAACUUUAAAUGGAUGAGAACCCCGGCUUGCUUGAUCGAGUGAAGCUGGGGCUCGGAUCCGGGUGCCAAGUGGGCCAAUUUUGGUAAGCAGAACUGGCGCUGUGG